AGAGUUUGAUCCUGGCUCAGAUUGAACGCUGGCGGUAUGUUUAACAUAUGUAAGUUGAAUGGUAAUAGGAGAAGUUUGUUUCUUGCUGAUGAGUGGUGGAUGGGUGUGUAAUGUGUGGGAAUUUAUCUUUUAGUGGGGGAUAGUCCGGAGAAAUCCGGAUUAAUACCGCAUAAGCCCUAUGGGGGAAAAGGGGCUUUUUUUUGAAAGCUCUUGCUAUUAGAUGAGCCCGUGUAAGAUUAGUUUGUUGGUGGGGUAAAGGUUUACCAAGGUAAUGAUUUUUAGUUGGUUUGAGAGGAUGAUUAGCCACACUGGGAUUGAGAUAUGGCCCAGACUCCUAUGGGAGGCAGCAGUGGGGAAUAUUGGAUAAUGGGUGAAAGCCUGAUCCAGCAAUACCGCGUGUGUGAAGAAGGCCUGAGGGUUGUAAAGCACUUUCAAUAGUGAUGAAAUGUUUAAGUUUAAUAUGUUUGGGUUUUGAUUUUAACUAUAGAAGAAGCACCGGUUAACUCUGUGCCAGUAGUUGUGGUAAUACAGAGGGUGCAAGCGUUAAUCGGAAUUACCGGGCGUAAAGCGCACGUAGGUGGUUCAUUAAGUCAGAUGUGAAAGUCCCGGGUUUAACCUGGGAAUUGCAUUUGAAACUGGUGUACUAGAGUAUGGUAGAGGUAAGUGGAAUUCCAGGUGUAGUGGUGAAAUGUGUAGAUAUCUGGAGGAAUAUUAGUGGUGAAGGUGACUUACUGGACCAAUACUGACAUUGAGGUGCGAAAGCGUGGGGAGCAAAUAGGAUUAGAUAUCCUGGUAGUCCACGCCGUAAACGAUGUCAACUAGCCGUUGGGAGCAUUUAAGCUUUUAGUGGCGUAGUUAAUGUAUUAAGUUGACCGCCUGGGGAGUAUGGCCGUAAGGCUAAAACUUAAAGGAAUUGACGGGGGCCCGCACAAGUGGUGGAGCAUGUGGUUUAAUUCGAUGCAAUGCGAAGAACCUUACCAGCCCUUGAUAUUGAUAGAAUCCAGCAGAGAUGCAGGAGUGCCUUUGGGCCUUGAAAACAGGUGCUGCAUGGCUGUCGUCAGUUUGUGUUGUGAGAUGUUGGGUUAAGUUUUGUAAUGAGUGUAAUUUUUGUCCUUAGUUGCCAGCAUGUAAUGGUGGGAACUUUAAGGAGACUGCCGGUGAUAAACCGGAGGAAGGUGGGGAUGACGUUAAGUCAUUAUGGCCCUUAUGGGCUGGGCUACACACGUGCUACAAUGGCCGGUAUAGAGGGUCGCAAACCUGUGAAGGUGAGCUAAUUUUAUAAAGCCGGUCUUAGUCUGGAUUGGAGUCUGUAAUUUGACUCCAUGAAGUCGGAAUUGUUAGUAAUCGUGGAUUAGAAUGCCACGGUGAAUACGUUCCCGGGCCUUGUACACACCGCCCGUCACACCAUGGGAGUGGGUUGCAAAAGAAGUGAGUAGUUUAAUAAUGGGUGCUCACUAUUUUGUGGUUCAUGACUGGGGUGAAGUUGAAAUAAGGUA
rnacentral:rRNA from 1 species